rnacentral:rRNA from 1 species
GACGAACGCUGGCGGCGUGCCUAAUACAUGCAAGUCGAACGCAGUGGGGACGGGUGAGUAACACGUGGGUAACCUCCCAUCAGAGGGGAUAACACUUGGAAACAGGUGCUAAACCGAUACUGAUGGAUGAACCCGCGGUGCAUUAGCUAGUUGGUGAGGUAACGGCGAACCAAGGCCACGAUGCAUAGCCGACCUGAGAGGGUGAUCGGCCACACUGUUACUGAGACACGGCCCAGCCUCCUACGGGAGGCAGCAGUAGGGAAUCUUCGGCAAUGGACGAAAGUCUGAUCGAGCAACGCCGCGUGAGUGAAGAAGGUUUUCGGAUCGUAAAACUCUGUUGUUAGAGAAGCGGUAUCUAACCAGAAAGCCACGGCUAACUACGUGCCAGCAGCCGCGGUAAUUC